AGAGUUUGAUCAUGGCUCAGGAUGAACGCUAGCGGCAGGCCUAAUACAUGCAAGUCGAACGCUCAGUAGCAAUACUGGGAGUGGCGCACGGGUGCGUAACGCGUACACAAUCUACCUCUAAGCGGGGGACACCUCCUGGAAAUUUGGAUUAAUACCCCAUAGUAUAAUGAAGUGGCAUCACUUUAUUAUUAAAGAUUUAUCACUCGAAGAUGGCUGUGCGGCUGAUUAGGUAGUUGGCGGGGUAAAGGCCCACCAAGCCUGCGAUCAGUAACUGGUGUGAGAGCACGACCAGUCACACGGGCACUGAGACACGGGCCCGACUCCUACGGGAGGCAGCAGUAAGGAAUAUUGGUCAAUGGAGGCAACUCUGAACCAGCCAUGCCGCGUGGAGGAUGAAGGUCCUCUGGAUUGUAAACUUCUUUUAUAUGGGACGAAAAAGGCUUUUCUAAGUCGUCUGUCGGUACCAUAUGAAUAAGCACCGGCUAACUCCGUG
rnacentral:rRNA from 1 species